rnacentral:lncRNA from 1 species
GAGCAGAGACUCAAAGUGCUUGGGUUGAAGAUGAUGGGAGAGAUGGUUUUCUGGUAUAUACUGUGGGGAUAAAAGGAAGUGGAUAUCGAACUAGAUUGUGUUUGGGAAUGAUUUAGGAUAACAAAUGGGAAGCAUGAUGGAGAUUAAGGUUAAUUUUUGUCUCUCUAUUUUUGUUUGAGUAUAUGUAGAUGAGGUGUUUGUGAUAAGAGUUUGAUGCUUCAAGAAUUGGGAUGAAAUGGUAGUGAACAAAAGGGGUGUCUGUUCUUGUGAUUGGGCAUGAUGGAGGAAUUGGUUUNGAAAGGGAGUGAUACUAUUGUGUGAAUGGAGGACUAAUUUAUUUUUUUUUAUGAGCGGUGUUUUACGAAUCAAUGAAGGAACGUUUUGUAAAUAAUGUGAGAGGUGUCUGAUGGUUGGGGUUGGAAGAAUGAUGAUGAUUGUGAAGGUGAUGGAGGUAGAGAAUGAGUUUCGUUGUGUGUGUGUUGGUGGUGAGAUGUAGUGUGAGUGAUUUUUGUUGAGGUGGUCAUGGAGAAUUGGAGAUGAAAAUUCCCAAGUGAGUGAAGAAAGGUGAGUCCAUAUAGGAAUUGAGGGUAGAGUGGGAGAUGAAUCCAGGAUUCCCCUGAUGUCUGUUAUGUGUGCAUUUUUAUUGUUAGGAAACGAAAGAUGAGGAAGGAUCCCCUGGUUGUGUGUGAUGGUUGUAGGGANCCGCGGGAGGGGGGUCCGUGCAUGAGGGAGGAUGAAUUCUGUUAUGUGGUGAGGGAGAAAAUCCUUUUUUGAUGGGUCCUCCCCUCUCAAACCUUGUUGUGCUCUGUAUAUCAAUGUUCACUCUCUGCCCAUUUCCUCUGCCAAUCCAUAUCGUGUCUGCCAACCCAACUGUGCCUGCAAAANUCGUUUCUUGCUCCCUCGCUGUCCAACCCCGUACACACUGCCUAUCCCCAGCCAAAACCUUUCUUUUUCUUUUUACUUUACUU